CACGGGGGGAACGCGAAGAACCUUACCUGGAUUUGACAUGCAGUUGAUCGCUGUAGAAAUACAGUUUUCUCGCAAGAGACAAUUGCACAGGUGCUGCAUGGCUGUCGUCAGCUCGUGCCGUGAGGUGUUGGGUUAAGUCCCGCAACGAGCGCAACCCUUGUCGUUAGUUGCCAGCAUGUAAUGAUGGGCACUCUAGCGAGACUGCCUAGGUUAACUAGGAGGAAGGUGAGGAUGACGUCAAGUCCGCAUGGCCUUUAUAUCCAGGGCUACACACGUGCUACAAUGGCUGGUACAGAAGGAAGCAACACCGCGAGGUAGAGCAAAUCCGCAAAAGCCAGCCCCAGUUCGGAUUGUAGUCUGCAACUCGACUACAUGAAGUUGGAAUUGCUAGUAAUGGCGAGUCAGCAACAUCGCCGUGAAUACGUUCCCGGGUCUUGUACACACGC
rnacentral:rRNA from 1 species